rnacentral:lncRNA from 1 species
UUUCCUCUAAAAAAUAUCUUUAUUUCCUGUAUUUACCCCCACCCCAUGUGUCAUAUAACUUGGUCCCUUUUAUUCGUUCCCUUCCUGAUGGUGGUGUUAGUAGUUCCAAGUGAAGGUCUUGCCCGUGAUAGGGUCUCAAGCGUGAGACAUGAAAAACAUUGUGUUUAUGUGAUGAAGUACGUAGAUCUCAUUCAUAGGUCGUUUGUCCAAUACGGCAUAAUACCACAUGGAACAUAGUAUGAUUGGGACAACUUCUAGGAUCGACAAGGAGCCACUAUGGUGUGUCUACAUGAUUGCAAUCAGUGUAAAACCAUGGAGCC